AUUGAACGCUGGCGGCAGGCCUAACACAUGCAAGUCGAACGGCAGCACAGAAGAGCUUGCUCUUUGGGUGGCGAGUGGCGGACGGGUGAGUAAUGUCUGGGAAACUGCCCGAUGGAGGGGGAUAACUACUGGAAACGGUAGCUAAUACCGCAUAACGUCGCGAGACCAAAGUGGGGGACCUUCGGGCCUCACACCAUCGGAUGUGCCCAGAUGGGAUUAGCUAGUAGGUGGGGUAAUGGCUCACCUAGGCGACGAUCCCUAGCUGGUCUGAGAGGAUGACCAGCCACACUGGAACUGAGACACGGUCCAGACUCCUACGGGAGGCAGCAGUGGGGAAUAUUGCACAAUGGGCGCAAGCCUGAUGCAGCCAUGCCGCGUGUAUGGAGAAGGCCUUCGGGUUGUAAAGUACUUUCAGCGGGGAGGAAGGCGGUGAGGUUAAUAACCUCGCCGAUUGACGUUACCCGCAGAAGAAGCACCGGCUAACUCCGUGCCAGCAGACGCCGUAA
rnacentral:rRNA from 1 species